rnacentral:rRNA from 1 species
CUGGCUCAGAUUGAACGCUGGCGGCGUGCUUAACACAUGCAAGUCGAACGCGAAAGGGACUUCGGUCCUGAGUAAAGUGGCGCACGGGUGAGUAACGCGUGGAUAAUCUGCCCUUAUGAUCGGGAUAACAGUUGGAAACGGCUGCUAAUACCGGAUACGCUCAAAAUGAACUUUUUGAGGAAAGAUGGCCUCUGCUUGCAUGCUAUCGCGUAAGGAUGAGUCCGCGUCCCAUUAGCUUGUUGGCGGGGUAACGGCCCACCAAGGCAACGAUGGGUAGCCGAUUUGAGAGGAUGAUCGGCCACACUGGAACUGAAACACGGUCCAGACUCCUACGGGAGGCAGCAGUGGAGAAUAUUGCGCAAUGGGCGAAAGCCUGACGCAGCGACGCCGCGUGAGGGAUGAAGGUUUUCGGAUCGUAAACCUCUGUCAGAAGGGAAGAAACUACGUUGUGCUAAUCAGCAGCGUACUGACGGUACCUUCAAAGGAAGCACCGGCUAACUCCGUGCCAGCCGCCGC